rnacentral:snoRNA from 1 species
GGGUCGAUGAUGUAAGCUCAUAUUGAUAUGAAGAGAAAUGAUGACUUAAAAAUCAUGUUUGAUAGGAUUAAGCUGAGGCUA